GGGCUCAUUUUGGUGGCACAUAUACUAAAAUUGGAGGCACAAAGAGAAGGUUAGCAUGGCCCCUGCGUGGGGAUGACGUGCAAAUCUGUGAAGCAUUUUACAUUUUU
ensembl:snRNA U6 U6 spliceosomal RNA